GCAUGAAAAGACUCAAAUCCGGCAAUAUCCGGGCAUGGUAAACUCCUGUGCAAUUUGAUGUUUGCUGGAUGUAUGUGGGAAAAAGCGGAUCAGAGUAACACGGAACAGUAUAUUUCCAGACAAACCCGGAAACCUCACCUACGCGGGCAUAUACAGGAAUCCGUGAAAUUUUACGGACAUAUACAGCUGAAACACUGCUGGAUGUGAGAGGUGUGAAGAAGACCUUUCAUAUGUUAAUGACUGACACUAAGGGUGCUGGCUGUUCUCAGAGGGAGGAGUGGCAGGGGACUUCAGGAUUGAAAAUUAUCUCUGGUCUACAGCAAACAAGUUUUUUUGUACAGAAAAAUAAAUAAAUUCUUAAGGCCCUGAAACAGAAAACCGACGUCAAAGAACUAGCAAUGACUAAAGCCAACUCUAGGGUUGGCUUAUGUCGCCUGUGUCAGGGCCUUAAAACUACUGUAUGAAAAAAAGUAUCCUAAUCAAAUAUUCUUUUAUAAAAACAGGACAAAAUAAACACCAUGAAUAUACGUUCACAAAAACAUCUGAAUAUUUAAUGAAAUAAAAAAUACAGGGAAACAUUUCAGAAUAUCUAAAUUUUUAUUGUGAAGUUUUACAAAUUGCAGACAACAACAUUUGUCGCCAUUGGCUUUGCUUAGUUGGGGACAUUUUUAUUUAAUAUUCAACAAUGUUAUUGAACUGCCUGCAUUGACACCAUUAUAUGAGAUCUGAACUGAGAUGGACAAUGACAUCACGGUUUUGGCUUGGAGUUAAUCCAUGCUUCUUUGGGCAUGCAUGAUGUGAAACGAGUGGUCGCAAAACCACCGGGCUUUCCCGUGUUAUUGUCAGCAGCUGGUUAUCCUUCCAUGUUGAAAGGGCCUAAGGACGGGAAUCCGAUUGAGGAACACCCCAGAAAUGGCUCGGCUACGAUGUUCCGAUAAAGAAGUCACGCCGGGUGUUGAAUAUUGUCAGAUUCAGAUGCAUCAAUGAGAGUCAGUAAUGCAGUGGAUAACUAUGAGGAUGAUCACAUCCACAUGCCCCACAGCUGUGAUGCAGAAUCACAAUGGGAGGAUCAAUCUGUCUUUGGCCACAACCUGAUCUUCUCAGAGAGACUCUCCAGCGUCUUGAUGCUCUUUAGCGAAAGUAUGAGCAGCACAGACUAACGUUACAUGAAGAAUCUUACAACGCUUCGAAAAGAAUAAAAAAGGCACAUGACGUGAACAUUGCGGAAUCUGUAAGGCGCCUCCAUAAUUCAGAGAACAACCCACACAAAUACGUUCCACAAACCAGAAUAAAUUCAUCACAUAACCUGGCUGUGACCACUUACCUCUUCGAAGAAUUAAGGUCAACUUUUACAGAAGUUGACCCUGAAUGUGUAAAAGCAGGUUGGAAGAUGUAUUUUGAGACUUUGCGGAGGAAGUAUUCUUUGGCUCAGCCUGAAAAGGCCCAGAAAAGAAAAACUAUGACAAGCAUUGCAAAGAACCUUCAAAGAAAGCGACUGUUGCUGGAGACCAGGUCCGGGGUUGUACAAACCAACACAGAAAAGGAACUUUGGAAGACCGCAACAAUAGAACUGAUGUCUGAUGAAGAUGAUGCUAUUGUUGAUGGAAGGCCAGUGUGAAUGGUGAGGUCUCCACCAAUCUGCUCUCUGCUAGGUACUAUAAAACAGACUAGAGGCUGACCCACACUAUGCGUCACACCACCAGCGUAUCAUGGCAGUUUGAAAAAUGUUAACUCGUA